GGGUUGUGAGGUUAAGCGACUAAGCGUACACGGUGGAUGCCCUGGCAGUCAGAGGCGAUGAAGGACGUGCUAAUCUGCGAUAAGCGUCGGUAAGGUGAUAUGAACCGUUAUAACCGGCGAUUUCCGAAUGGGGAAACCCAGUGUGUUUCGACACACUAUCAUUAACUGAAUCCAUAGGUUAAUGAGGCGAACCGGGGGAACUGAAACAUCUAAGUACCCCGAGGAAAAGAAAUCAACAGAGAUUCCCCCAGUAGCGGCGAGCGAACGGGGAGGAGCCCAGAGCCUGAAUCAGUGUGUGUGUUAGUGGAAGCGUCUGGAAAGGCGCGCGAUACAGGGUGACAGCCCCGUACACAAAAAUGCACAUGCUGUGAGCUCGAUGAGUAGGGCGGGACACGUGGUAUCCUGUCUGAAUAUGGGGGGACCAUCCUCCAAGGCUAAAUACUCCUGACUGACCGAUAGUGAACCAGUACCGUGAGGGAAAGGCGAAAAGAACCCCGGCGAGGGGAGUGAAAAAGAACCUGAAACCGUGUACGUACAAGCAGUGGGAGCCUCUUUUAUGG
rnacentral:rRNA from 1 species